rnacentral:rRNA from 1 species
GACGAACGCUGGCGGCGUGCUUAACACAUGCAAGUCGAACGGAAAGGCCUGCUUUCCCUUGUGGUUUGCGGGUACUCGAGUGGCGAACGGGUGAGUAACACGUGAGUGAUCUGCCCCCAACUUGGGUAUAAGCCUGGGAAACUGGGUCAAAUUCCCGAUAGUACUGCAGGGUGGUGCCUGUGGUGGACAACGAUUUUCUAGUGGGUGGGGUUGAGCCCGCGGCCUAUCAGCUUGUUGGUGGGGUAAGGGCCUACCAAGGCGGGGACGGGUAGCCGUCCGGAGGGGGUGGACGGCACCAUUGGGACGGGGAUCCGUCCCAGACUCCUACGGGAGGCAGCGGUGGGGAAUAUUGCACAAUGGGCGGAAGCCUGAUGCAGCGACGCCGCGUGGGGAAUGCCGGCCUUCGGGUUGUAAACUCCUUUCGGCCGCGAGGAAGCCGCCUGGUCGGAAGGGUGGUGACGGUAGUGGUAGAAGAAGCACCGGCUAACUACGUG